UGCCAGACUCCUACGGGAGGCAGCAGUCGGGAAUAUUGCGCAAUGGAGGAAACUCUGACGCAGUGACGCCGCGUAUAGGAAGAAGGUUUUCGGAUUGUAAACUAUUGUCGUGAGGGAAGAAGAUGACAGUACCUCAGGAGGAAGCUCCGGCUAACUAUGUGCCAGCAGCCGCGGUAAUACAUAGGGAGCAAGCGUUAUCCGGAAUUAUUGGGUGUAAAGGGUGCGUAGACGGGAAAUUAAGUUAGUUGUGAAAUCCCUUGGCUUAACGGAGAAACUGCAACUAAAACUGAUUUUCUUGAGUGCUGGAGAGGAAAGUGGAAUUCCUAGUGUAGCGGUGAAAUGCGUAGAUAUUAGGAGGAACACCAGUGGCGAAGGCGACUUUCUGGACAGUAACUGACGUUGAGGCACGAAAGUGUGGGGAGCAAACAGGAUUAGAUACCCUUGUAA
rnacentral:rRNA from 1 species